rnacentral:rRNA from 1 species
CUGUGACGAAGCGUGAGUGACGGCGGGAGGCAGCAGUGGGAAUAUUGCACAAUGGGCGGAAGCCUGAUGCAGCAACGCCGCGUGCGGGAUGACGGCCUUCGGGUUGUAAACCGCUUUCGCCUGUGACGAAGCGUGAGUGACGGUAAUGGGUAAAGAAGCACCGGCUAACUACGUGCCAGCAGCCGCGGUGAUACGUAGGGUGCGAGCGUUGUCCGGAUUUAUUGGGCGUAAAGGGCUCGUAGGUGGUUGAUCGCGUCGGAAGUGUAAUCUUGGGGCUUAACCCUGAGCGUGCUUUCGAUACGGGUUGACUUGAGGAAGGUAGGGGAGAAUGGAAUUCCUGGUGGAGCGGUGGAAUGCGCAGAUAUCAGGAGGAACACCAGUGGCGAAGGCGGUUCUCUGGGCCUUUCCUGACGCUGAGGAGCGAAAGCGUGGGGAGCGAACAGGCUUAGAUACCCUGGUAGUCCACGCUGUAAACGGUGGGUACUAGGUGUGGGGUCCAUUCCACGGGUUCCGUGCCGUAGCUAACGCUUUAAGUACCCCGCCUGGGGAGUACGGCCGCAAGGCUAAAACUCAAAGGAAUUGACGGGGGCCCGCACAAGCGGCGGAGCAUGCGGAUUAAUUCGAUGCAACGCGAAGAACCUUACCAAGGCUUGACAUGCACGGGAAAGUUCCAGAGAUGGUUCCCCCGCAAGGUCCGUGCACAGGUGGUGCAUGGUUGUCGUCAGCUCGUGUCGUGAGAUGUUGGGUUAAGUCCCGCAACGAGCGCAACCCUCGUUCCAUGUUGCCAGCGCGUUAUGGCGGGGACUCAUGGGAGACUGCCGGGGUCAACUCGGAGGAAGGUGGGGAUGACGUCAAGUCAUCAUGCCCCUUAUGUCCAGGGCUUCACACAUGCUACAAUGGCCAGUACAGAGGGCUGCGAGACCGUGAGGUGGAGCGAAUCCCUUAAAGCUGGUCUCAGUUCGGAUCGGGGUCUGCAACUCGACCCCGUGAAGUCGGAGUCGCUAGUAAUCGCAGAUCAGCAACGCUGCGGUGAAUACGUUCCCGGGCCUUGUACACACCGCCCGUCACGUCAUGAAAGUUGGUAACACCCGAAGCCGGUGGCCUAACCGUUGUGGGGGAGCCGUCGAAGGUGGGACUGGUGAUUAGGACUAAG